CCUACGUGAGGCAGCAGUGAGGAAUAUUGGUCAAUGGGCGCGAGCCUGAACCAGCCAAGUAGCGUGAAGGAUGACUGCCCUACGGGUUGUAAACAUCUUUUAUAAAGGAAUAAAGUGAGGCACGUGUGCCUUUUUGUAUGUACUUUAUGAGUAAGGAUCGGCUAACUCCGUGCCAGCAGCCGCGGUAAUACGGAGGAUCCGAGCGUUAUCCGGAUUUAUUGGGUUUAAAGGGUGCGUAGGCGGCCUGUUAAGUCAGCGGUGAAAGUCUGUGGCUCAACCAUGGAAGUGCGGUGGAAACUGGCAGGCAAGAGUAUGUUUGAGGCAGGCGGAAUGCGUGGUGUAGCGGUGAAAUGCUUAGAUAUCACGAAGAACCCCGAUGGCGAAGGCAGCCUGC
rnacentral:rRNA from 1 species